CAGAAGUGCCCACAUCCGGCCAAAUGGGGGCUCACCAGCUGCCCGUGGACGGAGUGGGAGGAGGCCCCCAGUCUCCAGGAGGCUCCAUGCCUCAGGCUCAGACCGGCAGCUCGGGAACCCAGCUAGCAGGAUGAACUCCAGCAGAGGAACUCAGCGCCAUUGCUGCGGCUGUGGGCCAGAAGAGAAAGAGAAAGAGAAAGAGAAUCCGCCUCGGUGUGACAAGCUGUGCCUCAGAACCCGAGCAGCAGGAGAGUGGGCAGCAGGGGGUGUCUGGCAGCAGAGAGGGGCUCAGGCCUGCUGGGUGGAGCGGCGCUGGGGGACACAGGUGGGCCCUGCGGGAGGCAGGAGCUGUCCAGGCAAAGCCGAGGGGAAGGGCCGGUAUGAAGGAGGCGCCCGAUGGGAGGGGCGAGUUCUCCCCCUGCACCAUUCCAGUCCACUCCGGGUUUCCUGUAGAAGGGGGAGCCCCCCAAAGUCCAUCUGUGUUUCCCCACCUCACUCACACACUCAGGGACCCUCGGCUGCUCCCCGGGGCGCUGACUGACAUUUUUGCCGAAUAAAGGGGCCCUGUGGGUUUCCUGUUCCCAUCUCAGCUUCUGCUGAACAGGGUAAACUUCCCUUCCGAAUAAAACCACCAGAAUGCGGUCUGGCCAAUUUCAGUCAUAGACCCACCAGGCCUGUGUCCCUGCGUGAGGGGGUGGGAAAAGCCCAGAGUGCCCCUACCCGUCCCCUGGGAGGGGUGGAAGGGCAGCUCUUGCUCCCCCUGCAGAGACGCUGCGCGGACUGGGAAGGCUGCCAGCCUCGCCCGGUCUCCCUGUGGACCCUGCCCUGACCCCACCCCAGCUUCCUGGCUCCCUGCACCCCACUGGGCUUCCCUGCCCCACAGAGCCUGGUGGUAGGGAGACCUCCGGAUGGAGACAGCCCACAGUCCCGGAGCCCCAAGGCAGGCACCAGUGAGUCCCUCGUGACGGCCUCGCUCCCUGCAUCACAUGGAACCUCGUGACCCACGUGACGACGCCAGUGCCCCCGUGGCCCCUUCCUGCUGCUGGACGUGAUGCAGUCAAUGGAAGCCCAGGUCUGUCACGCACCGCCUGUGCUUGCCCAGAGCAGGUCCCAGUCACCCCCUCUGGCACCGCCUGCUGCACACCAGGAACCCCCACCUCCAGCAAGCCCAUCUGCCAGACGCCUGGCCCAGGACCGCCCCCUGCCCCUCGACUGCCCCCUGCCCCUCCUGGUCCUGACUUCAGCCAGGUGACCCCCUCCAGGGUCCAGCCCUGGCCCCUGGGGGACUCAGUGGCAUCUGGUGGAAAGGACCUUGGGGAUUGCGCCCACCCUCACCUGCAGGAGAGUUGGCAGGGUGGCCAGCCACAGGAAUCUGUGGCAGGAGCCCGGGGACCUGCACCCCAACUAGAAAGUGUGCAGCCCUGCAGGCCGGCCCUGGAGAGGGAGCAGGCAGGGGUGAAGUUAGGCCGGCUGUGGUGUGCGACACCGUCCUGUGGGGCCAAGCGUCCCGAGCUCCAGAGGCAGGUGCACUCCUGGCCAGCAUCCAGGGUGGACGAGCCCAGACCCCAAUACUCUGAGGCAGGGUGGGGGACCAGGUGGCACCCAGUGGAGGAAAAGCCCCCAAGAGACACGCAGGAGCAUGGACUCCCACCCCACAGCUGGAGCCUGGGAGAGGAGCCCCAUCUGCUGUUUCCCUGGUGCACUCACAUCCUGGCCCUCAGCGCCCCCUGCCAGGAAUGUCCCCCACAUGCAGAGCCAUGUGGGUCUUGCAAGGAAGAAGAAGGGGGCCCCUUGCAUCCUCCACUCCCGGGGGCCCCAGGAGGGCAUGGGGGCUCCAGGGUGCAGGGACAGCACGUUCCCUCACCAACUCCCCAAGAACGCCCAACCUCCAAGAGCAGACACAGCGCCUACACCUGCCGGUACGGGGCUCCAACCCCACUCUCUCAGAUACGUCCUCCAGAGUCGUCUCAUCCACCCCACCCUGGGGAGGAGGGAAACUGAGGCAUGGCAAGAGACAAGACUAACACAGCGUGGGCUCUCCCGGCACCAGCACCGCCAGGCCCUGUGCAGGACCCCAGGGUCAUCAGGAAGGAAAUGAGGCAGCCCAAGGAGGCGGGAGACGGGGCCCUACCCAGCACCCAGCCAUCUGCAUUGACACGGCUGCCCGCAGGAUAUCACUGCCCCCAUCCCGGGGCCCACCAUUACCAGCAGGGAGAGGGAGGCAGGUGAGCACCCCGAGCCCCACGCCUCCUGUCGCGGGGACUCCCCAGACCCAAUGCUGUGCCAGUGCAGGCCAGGCAGGGGGCUGAGGCCGAGGCCUGGUCAUUGCCAUCCUGGUCACGAUCUGGUGAAGGAUUUGAGUCCAGAAGCCAAACGUCUACAGUCGUGUGGUGCGGACACUCAGGAUGGACUGCCCAGGCCAUGGGGGGCUCUGAGGGAUGAAGAGGAAACUGCGGGGGCGAGGUGGGCUGCGCGUCUCUGAGAAAGUGUGUGAGUUGAGUGCUGCUGCAGAGGGAAGCUGGGGUCCACCGCUGGUGAGCGGGGAGGGGACGGGACACAGAACCGGCCGUGGCCCACCCCGAGACGGAGGCGCAGACACCAGGCCCGUUCUGUGCUCUGGAGGCUUUGGGCAGCUGUCAGGCUAGUGGACGGUGUGCAGAGCAGAUGGAGGCGUGAGGAGGCGGCUCCGGGGUCACCUAGGUGGGCAGCCCUCACAGGGGAGGCCGAGGGGGAGGGCAGGAGGGCGGAGCAGGCGGCGGUGCAGGAGGCCCGUGGAACUUGGAGGGCUCUGUGUCCAGCUCUCAUGGCCCAGGGCGGGGGCAGCUCCAAGGCCUCGGGCUUGGGGACAGAAGGGAGAGGACUUGGGGGUUGGGGGUGGUCAGAGCAUUGUGGGAGGGAUCUGGGGCAGCUGGGGCUUCCCAGAGGGUGAGGUGUCUGCUGGGAAUUGGGGCAGCCCCAGGCGUCCCCAGGCCUCCAGCCCAGCCCCGGUUCCUCCACGCUGCAGGCCAGGGUAUCAAUUGCCUGCUGGGAAACCUCAGGGUGCCUCUGUCUCAAGUGCCUGCCCCUGACACUCCUGGCCCUGGGCUCCCCCCGCCUCCCCGUCUGUCUGCUUUCCCCACCUCCUCCCCUCCCCUGGCCGUCUUUCUGACUCGGGGAUGGCGUCACCUCUCACCCCAAAUCAGGACCCUGGGCCCCAGCUCUGUUCCCCACCUCACCUUCCUUGUGACCAACUCCUGACCUCCCGUGGGCUUGGGGUGUCUGUGGCCGGAACAUUCCUCAGACCCUCUCCUCCAGCCCCACUCUGUCCCACCACCCAGGCAUCCCCCACCUGGGUUCCAGCCCUCCAAGGGGCCCCACGCUCUGUGUCCAUGAUCAGGACACUCACACGCACCCAGCUCGCGCCCUUCCUUCCAGACAUUCGAGCUCUGGAAGCUCACAGUCACCCUAGCUUAGUGCACAGCCACAGGCCAGGCACCUUCAACAUCCCCACCUUCCAGGUGAGGAAACCGAGGCACCGAGAGCUGGGGGCCAGGCCAGGGGGUCUCCCUGGGGGGAGCAGAGGAGUGUCGGACCUCAGAAGAGGCUCUGGGGGUCUGAGCCGCCACCGGGCGCUGCCUUCCAGGUUCAGCAGGGACAGAGCUCAGGGGGAAGGCACCUCCCGUCCUGGUUCAAUACAUGGACCCCUGACCCUGGGAAAGGGACUGAGCCAGGGGAGGCCUCAGGUCACUGCACCAUGAAGUUGUGGGGAGCUGCGGGGGCCUCUGGGCUCCGAGCUGGGCAGGCACAGCGUGGGGACCACGUGCCGAGGGGAAGAAGCGUGCCAGGGUGGACGUCUCAGUGCACACGCAGGAACAUGCAACGGCUGAGCCAGCCCAGAGAGGCAGCGGAGCGUGUGCGGGGCGGCCGGCGGAGGAGCAGCAGGAUCCCAGGCGGGAGCGCACGGCCUUUUCGGAGGCAGGUUCCAGGACAAUACUAAGCGUUUACAUCAUUGCACUAUUUGAUCCAGGAGGUCCCACUGUGGCGUUUCAUCGAUAAACGCACAUGCGAGGUGGAGGGUGGCUGGUGUGGAAUGUGCCCGGCAGCCUUCAUAGCAAAGGAGAAUUCUAGAACCAACCGAAGUGCCCCUCUGAAGGGAGCUGGUCCCGUCCGUUCCAGCCGCCGUGGAGUAACACAGCCAGCAGUUUCCCUCCUGCCACGAAAGCUCGAGACUGAAACUCAGGAUGAACUGUUUUCAGCCCGGGUCACCCCAGCCCUGGGGUGGAGGCCCAUUGAGGAUGGCCGAGCAGGGGCGGGCAUCCAGGCAGGUCCAGCAGUCCUGGCGGGCUGAGGAGAAGGAGGUCAGUGCUCAGGGAGACAUCCGCAGAGGGACCUGGCAGGCAGAGCUCCAGAAGGGAGGGAACUGCACAGACAGAAAGCUCCAGAAGGCUGCCUGAGGGCCUCUGAGGCCUCCGGAGUCAGGCGCCAUGGAUGUGGAAGGUGGACUCUUCAGCAUGGAUGGGACCCUAGGGGGCUGUGGACCCCCGGCCCCUGGGACUCACAGGUGGGAGACAGGAGUUCCAACCGCCAGGGGGAGAGUCCUGGAGGAUCCUGGGCUGUUGGCAGCCACCCAGCAGGGCCCGUCCUGGGAGUGGGGCUGGACUCUUCCUGCAGGAAAGGCUGGGCUGGACCUGCUCUGAGAGGCUUCAGAACCAGCCACACGAAGACCAAAGUGAAGAGCAAGGAGCUGAACUCCACGCAGAACACAGCGCAGCGUCCUUUAAAGGAAGGCCAAAAACAACCCAACAAAAAUGCCAGGUGAUCAAAGCGGUCACAGCACAAUGUCCACAUCCAACGAGAAAUUGCUACUACGUCCAGACGCAGGGAAAGGUGGCCGUGGGAACGUGAGUCAGCAGCAACAGGCCCAGAAGGGCAGCCACGGUGGACUUGUCAGACGUGGACCCUGAAAUGACAAUCACAGCAUGAUUUCAGGCAGGAGCCUGAAAUGGUACAGCUUUGGACAUCGGUUUGGCAAAUUCUUUUAGAGAGAAACACACACCUUCCCUAGGACCCAGCAACUCCACUCCUAAUAACCAAGUGAAAUGGAAGGAGUUGUCCUCAGCAAAACGUGUGUGCGGAAGUUCACAGUCACUUUCUCGGUGAUAACCAAGAGCUGGAAACCACUGCAACACCCACCAGCAGGUGAACGGAUUAACACACUGGGCUAGGGCCACACAAUGAGAUGCUCCGUGGCAACACAAAAUGAACCGUGGACACACACUGCACGGCGGAUGAAUAUGCAGACAUCAGGCCACGUGAAGGGAGCCAGGCCCCGAGGCGCCACGCUUUGUGAUUCAGGGUGGUCCCUCUGCGCCCAAGACCCGGCUGCCUCCUCCUCUUCCUGGCUGCAGGGAGUGCUUGUGUCUGAAGAACGCCAGGCUGGUGUCCCCAGAGGGCGGCUGGAGGGGCUCAGAAACCAUUUUCACCUUCUGUCUCCUCCAUGUCUGCACUGUUUGGGUUUGUACCCGCCUGUGUCGCUUUUGCACGGGAAGUGAGAUGGAGAGACACGUGAACCACCAUUGCUGGGGUUCCAGCAUGGGGCCCCAGGGGACCCAUGGCUUUCCCAGAAGGAAGCUCUGCCAUUGGACAGCCGGUCUCAGGCUGCUGCACAGGCCCCUCCCCGCCCUCAGCCCUGGCCUGCGGGAAUCAGGAAAGGGUGGGGUCCAGCUGCAUUGCGAAUGGACUAAAGCCACUGAUUUGCACACUUGCCAAUGGCUGAAAUGGUCAAUAAAACGUCAUGUACCUUUUGCCACAGGAAAGAAAGCACGCAGCCAAAGAGCGCAAAGAGGCUCAGAGGAGGCCCGGGUGCCCUGGAGAGACGCUGCGUCCUGACGACACAGCAUCCCUGUCCCGCAGCGGAGAUUUCCCAGAUGAAGGAUUCCCCGGCGGGAGACAGGGCCCUGCACACAGGUCCUCUGCCACGCUGCUCACCAUGCCUGUGUGUUAUCUCCCCAUGAAAAGUCACCUAGGCCGAGCAUGGUGGCUCACGCCUGUAAUCCCAGCACUUUGGGAGGUGGAGGCGUGCGGAUCAUCUGAGAUCAGGAGUUUGAGACCAUCCUGAGUAACAUGGUGAAACCCCGUCUCUAGGAAGAAUACAAAAAUUAACUGG
rnacentral:lncRNA from 1 species